ACCAAUCAAAAACUUUGCGACAAAUUGUCAAUGCUCCGUUUUACGUAUCUAAUGCAAACAUCCACAAAGAUCUGAAUAUUCCAACCAUUAAAGAAGAAAUAAAGAAAACCAGUAAGAAAUACAUCGACAGACUCCACAACCACGAAAAUAAUUUAGCCUUAAGUCUAUUAGACAAUAGCCUAACAGUAAGAAGACUGAAAAGAUACCACAUUCUCGAUAUCCCUGAUAGAUAAAUUUAACAAACUAAAAAGAUGUUAUAUAUAAUAGCAGGGCUCAUUGGAAAACUGCUAUUUCUGUUAAUUGAAUAUUAAUUAUACAAUUUACUUAUUGUUUAAAAACAGAUUGUAAAUAUAAAGAGAGAGAAAAUUUAUUUUUAAAAAAAAAAAUAAAAAAAAAAAAAAAAAAAAAAAAAAAAAAAAAAAAAAAAAAAAAAAAAAAAAAAAAAAAAAAAAAAAAAAAAAAAAAAAAAAAAAAAAAAAAAAAAAAAAAAAAAAACUAUUU
rnacentral:lncRNA from 1 species